rnacentral:rRNA from 1 species
UAUUUUGCGCUUUGUAUCAGGAGAAAAGGACGGUAAUCCAUCAAGACUCUACAUUUUUAACUUUGACCUCGGAUCAGGUAGGGAACCCCAU